AUUAACCCUAAACAUAAAACCAUAGACUCACUCUGACAUUGGCAAAUCCUCGCGGAAGCGAUUAUACAAGAAGAAGAAGAAGCUCCUGUUUCUCCUACAAUU